rnacentral:lncRNA from 1 species
UCCCGAUGUAGAAGCAGAAAGAGGAAGAAGCCGGGUUUGCCCAGGGGCAGACCCAACCAGCAGAGCAAGGACUCCCACCCAGGUCAGGCCGGGCCCUACCUCCCCACUCCGACCCCGGAAUGACUUCUGUGGCCUCCACAAGGGCCGUGGACACAGAGUGGGCGAGAAGUUGCCCACGCAGAAGCACCCAAGCAGAAGCAGGUGCUNNNNNNNNNNNNNNNNNNNNNNNNNNNNNCACCCUCAACUAGCCCUCUUAACUCCCGCCCCCACCCCAGAUGGCAGCAGGCCCGCCUCCAGCAGGGGUGGCUGCAAGUGUCCCUACACCCUCGGAACCGCGAAGGAGCGCCACGCAGGGCUCGCUGAUCUGCCCAGCACCUGGCAGAGCCAGAGCCAGCCUCUGUGCAACCCCUCUGUGCGCAGGCCGGCCCGCCCCAGUCACCGCCCUUCCAGGGAUGGUCUGUCCCCCCACCAGGCUGGACCCUCCUCUGGUCCUGAGCUGACAGCGCACUGCCAUCCUCCAUCACGUGUCCUGCCGCUCGGGGCCCCAGGUCAUCCCGAGAGAUGGCAGUUGAACACAGGACCUAGAGUGAAUUCACUUCUCCCCAGCCCCACCCCAUGCCCCAGUCGCAGGCCCAAGGCCGCAAGGAGGCACGACUCCUCCCUCUCUCAGAGAUCCCAGGUGACCUAGUUUCGUGUGUACGUGUGUGAGCACAGGCGUCACUGUGAUGUCACCCAGUGAGUGUAUUUCUGGCUCUUUGUCAGCCCGUGUCCAUAACAUGUGACCAAUUUACCGCCUGAGCCCGUCUGUGCCCCCCGUUGCCCCCCCACUGAGUCCUUGUUGUCCUAGCCCCCCUCCCGUGUCUUUUCUGUAACAGGGUCGCUCCAAUCAGAGCCCUUCCAAAUGGAGCGGCCAACCAAUGGGGAGGCACGGUUCAGGUUCACGUGCCCAGUGCCCAAGGCCUGGGAGCAGGGGUGUGGGCUCAGAAGGAAAAGGAUGUGUCUGCGGGGUGGGGGUCCUGGGGCCCCUCGUCAUCUGCUCACACAGCUGACGAAGUGCCCCCUCCUACUCUGCCGAUGCCCAGACUUUCCAGGUCGGGACCAGCAGGGGGGCUCAGGGCAGGUGCACGCGUGGUCCUCUCCACUGAGGAUGCGAAGCUCAGGUGUCUCAGUGGCCUUCCCCAGACUGUACAUACACCCUCGCUGCACCCCUGCUGUCGCCGCGUAUGCCUCCUUACCCGUCAAGAGCAGCCUCUCAAGGGAAAGAAAAGCAAGGUGGCUGCACCCAGCGACAAAUCCAAAUGGCAAAUAUUUUGUAACAAAAUAGCCCAGAGGUAUUUUAUCUGUUCAAUUCAUAGAGUUUUAGAGAUUAUAUUGAAAUAUGUCACUUGAGCAAACUGUGUCAGUUCUGUUUCUUUCAUAGCCCAAGAUGGGGGUCUACCGCAAAUCAGAUCUCGGUGAGACCGCAGAGGCCGAGGGUGCCAGCUGGCCGCCUCUGGCCAUGGGGGUGUCCCCCUGUGACGCAGUCAGGGAGCCCCUUCAUGCACAAAUGGGGCAGACUUCUCUGGUGGUGCAGAGGUUAAGAAUCUGCCUGCCAGUGUGGCCUGGGAGGAUCCUGCGUGUUGCAGGGCGACUAAGCCCGAGUGCCGCAAGUGCAGAAGCCCCUAGAACCCCUGCUCCACAGUAAGAAGAGCCCCACUCAUCUCAAGAAAAAGCCUGUGUGCAGCAAGAUCCACUGUAGCCAAAAUGCAAAACAAAACAGUACAAAUGGGUCGAGGAACUACCAGGAACCAUCUGAUGGGCAGGCACUCGGUCAGAGCUCCAAGCGCAGGGCCAGGGAAUGGCCCCUCACCAACACACACACGGACACGGAACAACCCCCACCAACACACACACACGGAGUGACCCCCACCAA